UACGUAGGGGGGCUAGCGUUGUCCGGAAUCAUUGGGCGUAAAGCGCGCGUAGGCGGCCCGGUAAGUCCGCUCUGAAAGUCCAGGGCUCAACCCUGGAAUGCGGGUGGAUACUGCCGGGCUAGAAUCCGGAAGAGGCGAGUGGAAUUCCUGGUGUAGCGGUGGAAUGCGCAGAUAUCAGGAGGAACACCAAUAGCGAAGGCAGCUCGCUGGGACGGUAUUGACGCUAAGGCGCGAAAGCGUGGGGAGCGAACAGG
rnacentral:rRNA from 1 species